UACAGAGGGGGCAAGCGUUAUUCGGAAUUACUGGGCGUAAAGGGCGCGUAGGCGGCCGCCUAAGUCAGACGUGAAAUCCCUCGGCUCAACCGGGGAACUGCGUCUGAUACUGGGUGGCUUGAAUCCGGGAGAGGGAUGCGGAAUUCCAGGUGUAGCGGUGAAAUGCGUAGAUAUCUGGAGGAACACCGGUGGCGAAGGCGGCAUCCUGGACCGGUAUAGACGCUGAGGCGCGAAAGCCAGGGGAGCAAACGGG
rnacentral:rRNA from 1 species